GGGAGGAGAGCAAAGCACUUCUCUGAGGAAGUACAGGACAGUUGUCGCUAAGGAAUCAGCUGUGGCCUUGGGUGGGCAGAAAGGGCCUCGGAGCAGGUCGGGUUGGCUGUGUGCGGGUGGGUGGACCGGCCUGCUGUGCUGAGACCCGUGCUGCAGCAGGCGGAGCUGGGGAAGGAGCAGAGCUAUGCGGGACCAAGACACAUGUCAGCAAGUCUUCCAUCCCUCCGUCCUGGGGACUGGGCUGGCCGGCCCGAGUUUCCUGGCAUUUGGUCAUGAAGUAGCUUGUGUCGGCCCAUCAUUUAUUUUGGCCAGCAAACCAAACUAGGAAGGAAGACCAGGAUUCGGGACUUCAGUGAUGAGCAUGUACCCCCCAAAUUCUGAAGUUAUAGAGUGUGGAGCCGGCUGGGAUCUUGGAAGUCGACUGGUUGAAAUGCUGGUUGAAUCCUCAGGUGUGGAACCCCCAGAUACAGACUGUAUAGAUGGCUGUUUGAAAGUUGGAAAUAAUCUCACUUCAAGAAGAAGGAUGUUUUGGAUUGUCAUGGACAGAAUGUGAAGAGUGGAAGAAAAUUCACUAGAUGGGUCCCUGACUCUUAUAUCUUGAAAUUUUUCUCUUUGUAUUGAAAAGAAUUAAAAUAAGAACCCAGCUCAGAGUAGAGUCGCUGUCAAUCUUGGCAGGUUCUAAAACAAGGACACGGUGUGUGAAAAGAAUGACUACCCAGCCAGGCAUAGCGUGGCAUGCACAUAAAAAAAAAAAAAAAAAAUCAGUAAUUUUCGCAGAAAUAUAACGAAUCCAGGAUCUUUUACAACAUAUCAUUCAUAAGAUCAGGACUAGUGUCUAAAACUGCUAGACAUAGAAAGACACAGGAAAACAUGCUCUAUACUCAAGAGAGAAGAUAACAAGUGGAGGCUAAUACUCAAAUUACCCAAUGUUGGAAUUGGUAGACAGGAUUUUAAAGCAGCUGAAUAAUGUGAAGAAAAUAUGUUUGUAAUGAAGAAGCU